AUACCGGCGGCCCAAGUGGUGGCCACUAUUAUUGGGCCUAAAGCGUCCGUAGCCGGGCCUGUAAGUCCCUGGCGAAAUCCCACGGCCCAACCGUGGGGCUUGCUAGGGAUACUGCAGGCCUUGGGACCGGGAGAGGCCGGGGGUACCCCUGGGGUAGGGGUGAAAUCCCAUAAUCCCAGGGGGACCGCCAGUGGCGAAGGCGCCCGGCUGGAACGGGUCCGACGGUGAGGGACGAAGGCCAGGGGAGCGAACCGGAUUAGAUACCCUAGUAGUCC
rnacentral:rRNA from 1 species